rnacentral:rRNA from 1 species
UACGUAGGGUGCAAGCGUUGUCCGGAAUUAUUGGGCGUAAAGAGCUCGUAGGCGGCUUGUCACGUCGGAUGUGAAAGCCCGGGGCUUAACUCCGGGUCUGCAUUCGAUACGGGCUAGCUAGAGUGUGGUAGGGGAGAUCGGAAUUCCUGGUGUAGCGGUGAAAUGCGCAGAUAUCAGGAAGAACACCCGUGGCGAAGGCGGCUCUCUGGGACGGUACCGACGCUGAGACGCGAAAGCGUGGGGAGCGAACAGG